rnacentral:rRNA from 1 species
AUUGAACGCUGGCGGCAAGCCUAACACAUGCAAGUCGAACGAGUGGCGGACGGGUGAGUAAUGUCUGGGAAACUGCCUGAUGGAGGGGGAUAACUACUGUAAACGGUAGCUACUACUGCAUACCAUCGGAUCUGCCCAGAUGGGAUUAGCUAGUAGGUGGGGUAAAGGCUCACAUAGGCGACGAUCCCUAGCGGACCUGAGAGGAUGACCGGCCACACUGGAACUGAGACACGGUCCAGACUCCUACGGGAGGCAGCAGUGGGGAAUAUUGCACAAUGGACGAAAGCCUGAUGCAGCCAUGCCGCGUGUAUGAAGAAGGCCUUCGGGUUGUAAAGUACUUUCGGCGGGGAGGCGUUACCCAACGAAGAAGCACCGGCUAACUCCGUGCCAGCAGCCGCGGUAAUAC